rnacentral:rRNA from 1 species
GAUGAACGCUGGCGGCGUGCUUAACACAUGCAAGUCGAGCGAAGCAUUACACUUUGAUUUCUUCGGAUUGAAGAGGGUAAUGACUGAGCGGCGGACGGGUGAGUAACGCGUGGGUAACCUGCCUCAUACAGGGGGAUAACAGUCAGAAAUGACUGCUAAUACCGCAUAAGACCGCAGUACCGCAUGGUACAGUGGUAAAAACUCCGGUGGUAUGAGAUGGACCCGCGUCUGAUUAGCUAGUUGGUAAGGUAACGGCUUACCAAGGCGACAAUCAGUAGCCGGCCUGAGAGGGCGACCGGCCACAUUGGGACUGAGACACGGCCCAAACUCCUACGGGAGGCAGCAGUGGGGAAUAUUGCACAAUGGGGGAAACCCUGAUGCAGCGACGCCGCGUGAAGGAUGAAGUAUUUCGGUAUGUAAACUUCUAUCAGCAGGGAAGAAAAUGACGGUACCUGACUAAGAAGCCCCGGCUAACUACGUGCCAGCAGCCGCGGUAAUACGUA